rnacentral:rRNA from 1 species
CUAAGAAUCUUGCGCAAUGGGCGAAAGCCUGACGCAGCAACGCCGCGUGGAGGACGAAGGCCCUCGGGUUGUAAACUCCUUUUGCGAGGGNAAGAAGUUCUGACGGUACCUCGCGAAUAAGCCACGGCUAACUACGUGCCAGCAGCCGCGGUAAUACGUAGGUGGCGAGCGUUGUCCGGAUUUAUUGGGCGUAAAGAGCCCGCAGGCGGCUUGGUAAGUUUCAGGUGAAAUCUCCGGCUCAACUGGGAGGGUCCUGGAAACUGCCAGGCUUGAGGCAUGGAGAGGGAUGCGGAAUUCCCGGGUGUAGCGGUGAAAUGCGUAGAUAUCGGGAGGAACACCGAGUGGCGAAGGCGGCAUCCUGGCCAUGUCCUGACGCUCAGGGGGCAAAGGCUGGGGAGCAAA